rnacentral:rRNA from 1 species
UACGUAGGUGACCAGCGUUGUCCGGAUUUACUGGGCGUAAAGAGCGCGCAGGCGGUCGUUCAAGUCGAGUGUGAAAGCCCCCGGCUCAACUGGGGAGGGUCACUCGAUACUGAUCGACUUGAAGGCAGGAGAGGGAAGCGGAAUUCCCGGUGUAGUGGUGAAAUGCGUAGAUAUCGGGAGGAACACCAGUGGCGAAAGCGACUUCCUGGACCAAUACUGACGCUGAGGAGCGAAAGCCAGGGGAGCAAACGGG